rfam:Rattus norvegicus chromosome 11, whole genome shotgun sequence.
GGGGAUUUGGCUCAGUGGUAGAGCGCUUGCCUCGCAAGCGAAAGGCCCUGGGUUCGGUUCCCAACUCCG